AUGCAAGUCGAGCGAAUGGAUUAAGAGCUUGCUCUUAUGAAGUUAGCGGCGGACGGGUGAGUAACACGUGGGUAACCUGCCCAUAAGACUGGGAUAACUCCGGGAAACCGGGGCUAAUACCGGAUAACAUUUUGAACUGCAUGGUUCGAAAUUGAAAGGCGGCUUCGGCUGUCACUUAUGGAUGGACCCGCGUCGCAUUAGCUAGUUGGUGAGGUAACGGCUCACCAAGGCAACGAUGCGUAGCCGACCUGAGAGGGUGAUCGGCCACACUGGGACUGAGACACGGCCCAGACUCCUACGGGAGGCAGCAGUAGGGAAUCUUCCGCAAUGGACGAAAGUCUGACGGAGCAACGCCGCGUGAGUGAUGAAGGCUUUCGGGUCGUAAAACUCUGUUGUUAGGGAAGAACAAGUGCUAGUUGAAUAAGCUGGCACCUUGACGGUACCUAACCA
rnacentral:rRNA from 1 species